GUGAGAAUCUCUAGAAGCUGGUCCCCCGGAGAAGCAUCUCAGGAGUCCUUUUUGUUGCUCUCCAGUCCUAAAUCUUCCCAGGCUCUGCAAAAAGAGAAGUCCUAAAGCCUCAGUAAUGAUACAAGCUACACUGUCCUGGGGACCUCACUGAGGACCACAGUAUUUACUGAGUGAGAUGGAAAGCCACCACUGGGGUUUCAGUACAUUAGAGUAUAACAAGACUUCUGCUUCACAGGAAGAUUCUAGUUGCUGUAAGGACUCCAGCCUAUGAGUGACAGAGAAGCAGAGAUCACAGCAACUGACCAAGACCCGUAGGAAAUUGGAGAAGAACUGUGGACCCUCUCUACAGAAAAAUGCGCACUCACACAGAAGCAGAGUUUUGCAUGGUAUUUCAGGAUAUUUUUAACUUCUCAGUGUCGUGACCGCCAGCUUCAAACCUCUGUGGGUGCCUGUGGCAGGUCUCCAAGGACUCCUGGAGAAAGGACUGACAUAUUAUUCAUGUUUGCCUAUGAAAUCCUGGGCCAGCUGAAUUCAAGCUGCUUCUGGAAGAACUGACCAGCCUUUCUCCUGUGGGACUCCAACUGCGACGAUUCAUCAGGAAAUAGCCAGUAGUACCCAAGAUGGCCAGCAGGACUCCUGAGAUAAAGAAGCUGAGUUAUAAAGACUGUUUACCAUAAGAAAAUUAUUGUGUUAGCAGAAAUAACCCAAUGUGCUCAGGUAAAGCUGGUAGGGAAAUGCAUGGAAGCAAGUCUGUUGUGUGACAGCCUGUCCAGCCUCACUACAGCUAAAAGAAGAUGGAAAGACUCUAUCUUCUCUGUUUUGCUCCAUGUCCUGCAAGAUUCAACUCAAAUUCCAUGUCUUCCAGGAAGCCAGUCCUGUCUUUGGCAAAUUGGACAUAAAUUCUUGCUCUCCAAUUUUCUAGACUCUUUUCAAGUCAUCAUCAACUGCGCAACAUCAUCAAGUUCCUCAGCUCUAAACUGGGUGUAUGGUGACCACAACAGUGUUGUAUAAAAAUAUUUAAUACAUAAGGGUUCUGAUUGGUACAAAACAGCAGCUAUUACUAUUAUUACUAAUAAUCACAGUUCUUGAUGUAUUACCUAGAGAUCCAAAUUGUGCUCAUCUUACUGUUGUCAUUUCCCUCUGACCAAACUGUUAGACUCCUACGUGCCUGUGUGGUGAGGGUGAGGGUGCAUGCCAUGUAAUUUUGAAACCAGAAUGCAUUUAUUGUACCAAAUAAACAAAAGAACUCAAGGACUUGUUCGGCCCAACACCCCAACUGGUUGGCCUCUACCUUGAGUCUCUCCACUGCA